UCUCAGUCUCUUCUAACUCACAGGAGGUGGAGUGGGAUACACAUUGGAACUGAGUCUAAGCUUUUUUGACUUGGACGUGUUGAAUCCAAAGGGAGGUUUCCUUGUGCUGGAUGAAAGGUAAAAGAUUAGUCUGCUAGUUUACCAAGAGCUCAGGGCAGAAUAAUUAUUCGAAGGCUGACAUUUAAUACACCAGAGAUCCCAGAUAUUGCUACUGAAAGCUUUCUCAACAAAGCGGGAGCCAAAGAACCUUACAGCAGUGUCUAACUUUAAUUCACAAAAGUGAGGGAGCGGGGAGGUGAAGGUCAACUAUCAAGUGUCUCUUCAACUCAAGGGCAAAAACGGCCAAGCAAAGAGAACUGUAUGCACGUAGUGAGUAUGAGCUUACAGAGUGCAUGGAGCACCCAGAUGCAAUGUGAGAGAAUGGCUGGGAAGAACUAUUUAAGGGAUAUUACGAGGGCUCUGCUUCAGGCCAAUACCAUGACUGAUGAAGUUUCAAAUGUGUAUUUCAUAAGCAACUGCUGCUAAGGAAUUUUUGUGGAAAAGAUAAAAAUUACCAUUCAUUAAGUGUCAUCCUUAUCAUGACAUCAAUAUGCUGGAUCUGGUUGCCACUUUGUCCAGUGCCUGGAGAAGGUGAUGAGCUUCUCAAGGGUUUCAAAUUGGAAGGUGCAUAAGAAUCGCCUGGAAAGCUCGUUGAAAAUGCAGCUUCCCAGGAUCUUCUCUUUCAGAAGAUCUGGGGCGCAGCCCAUCAGUCCCUACUUCUAACAAGGACUUCAAGUGAAUCGCAGUCCCCUCUUUGGGAAACACCACUGAGGCAUCUCAUGAAAUGCCUUGCACUUACGUGUCAUGCUUAUGCAUAUACUUAUUUCCUGAAUUUAAUUUGUACCAUAUUAAUUAAAGAAGGGCUUCAUAUUUUUGGGCCCUAAUGAUUAUGCAAAUGAUGACAGUACUAAUUGAUAAUCCAAUAAUGCGUAUUAAAUUGGA